rnacentral:miRNA from 1 species
UAUGACGGAUUUGCAAGAUCUGU